rnacentral:rRNA from 1 species
GGAAAGGAGGGGGGAGGAGGCGGGGGAGUGCGUAGGGAGGAGGCGUGGGUCGGAAGAGGUGGGGGGAAAGGGCGGGGAGGCGGCGUGUGGAGUGGGGUGGGAAAGCCCGGGGCUUAACCCGGGGGCUGAAGUCGAUACGGGCAGGCUAGAGUUCGGUAGGGGAGAUCGGAAUUCCUGGUGUAGCGGUGAAAUGCGCAGAUAUCAGGAGGAACACCGGUGGCGAAGGCGGAUCUCUGGGCCGAUACUGACGCUGAGGAGCGAAAGCGUGGGGAGCGAACAGGAUUAGAUACCCCUGUAGUC